rnacentral:rRNA from 1 species
CGGUAUUGUUUAGUCGAUGCGCGCCAGUACUCAGACAGUAGGCGUGCGUAGGUGGUCGUUUAAGUCCCUCGUGAACCCCACCAGCUCAACCUGGGAACUGCAGUGGAUACUGGACGACUAGAUUGUGGUAGAGGGUAGCGGAAUUCCUGGUGUAGCAGUGAAAUGCGUAGAGAUCAGGAGGAACAUCCAUGGCGAAGGCAGCUACCUGGACCAACACUGACACUGAGGCACGAAAGCGUGGGGAGCAAACAGGAUUAGAUACCCUGGUAGUCCACGCCCUAAACGAUGCGAACUGGAUGUUGGGUGCAAUUUGGCACGCAGUAUCGAAGCUAACGCGUUAAGUUCGCCGCCUGGGGAGUACGGUCGCAAGACUGAAACUCAAAGGAAUUGACGGGGGCCCGCACAAGCGGUGGAGUAUGUGGUUUAAUUCGAUGCAACGCGAAGAACCUUACCUGGCCUUGACAUGUCGAGAUCUUUCCAGAGAUGGAUUGGUGCCUUCGGGAACUCGAACACAGGUGCUGCCUGGCUGUCUUCAGCUCGUGUCGUGAGAUGUUGGGUUAAGUCCCGCAACGACCGCCAAACACAAAAAAAAA